UGGUGAAAGAGCACAAGCAAGGUGUCAA
rnacentral:piRNA from 1 species